rnacentral:rRNA from 1 species
AGCCAGACUCCUACGGGAGGCAGCAGUGGGGAAUAUUGCACAAUGGGGGAAACCCUGAUGCAGCGACGCCGCGUGAGCGAUGAAGUAUUUCGGUAUGUAAAGCUCUAUCAGCAGGGAAGAAAAUGACGGUACCUGACUAAGAAGCCCCGGCUAACUACGUGCCAGCAGCCGCGGUAAUACGUAGGGGGCAAGCGUUAUCCGGAUUUACUGGGUGUAAAGGGAGCGUAGACGGCAAUGCAAGCCAGAUGUGAAAGCCCGGGGCUCAACCCCGGGACUGCAUUUGGAACUGUGUAGCUGGAGUGUCGGAGAGGCAGGCGGAAUUCCUAGUGUAGCGGUGAAAUGCGUAGAUAUUAGGAGGAACACCAGUGGCGAAGGCGGCCUGCUGGACGAUGACUGACGUUGAGGCUCGAAAGCGUGGGGAGCAAACAGGAUUAGAUACCCCGGUAG